UUUACUUUUUCCACAGCGAAGAUUUACAGUUGAGUGAUACAUUUAACUUGUGAAAGGAAGCAAGAUGGGAUUUUUUUAAGAUAACACGUACUACAUAUGCAUAAGACAAGAUCAGCAGAGUGCAAAGCGUAAUCGCUUUGUCCACAGGGGGCGCCAAAAACAUUGCAAACCCUGAGACCUCACAGGAGCUUUAACACAAGCAGUGUUUUUAUUUUAUUUUUUUUAAUCAAAAACAAGAAACACAAUCUUUCACCUUACCUUUACAGUAAUUUUUGUAAAUCUACAUUUGCAGUUUGGCUGUAUGUGUUGUUCUACCUUCUACCAGUAGGGGCGCUAAAUUUGAUGGGUUUUAUUAGAAGGUUGGAUGAAUUGCUGAGUUGACAGUGUAUGCUUCCCCUCUUAAAAAAACCCGACAAUAACUAAAAAAACUGGGUUACAAAAAUUCAAAUUUCGAUUAAAAUGUUUUCUUAAUGUUUCUCAUCCACACUUUAGAAGUAAUUGAUGGUAGGUCAGCUUUUUUCUUAUGAUUGGGUUGCAGUUAAUUGAUUAAAGCCGUUUGAGAUCAACACUCCUCGUCAGACGUGACAUUUUUCAGAGACAGGGAGUCUGUAAAGGACAUCUUUGACGUGACCAACUAAUGAGACGCUGUGAUGUCUGCGACAGACUCAGUGGAUAAAUGUCAUUUUAUUUCAUGUUGACCAUCAGCUUCUAUAUUUAGCCUGAUGUGUCGUCAUAUUUCCAGAUACCUCACUUGUUCACAGCUCCAGUUUUGUACUCAACCAACGAGGCCUGAAGCUACAAAACUGGUGCUGAGUGUUGUCGACAAUUGCCUGUUGUCUUACUGAACAAAAAACGACUGAGAAGAACCAAAGGAAGGUUUUCACACCAGGCUUAAUCCUGGGAUAAGACCCACACAGGUCAUUCACACUUACAGUUCCUGAGAAGUUCAUAAAGUACAAGUGGUACAGAUACAAGUAUUUCAUGUUUUUUAAGCUCAGACUUGAGUUUUAGUAUUUUGGUACCACAGUGUAAAGCACUUGGAACAGUUGCAAUAAUCAUGUAUAUUGAAAUACCUGCAUGCACACUGACUUUUGACUGUUGACACAAUGAGUGCAGCAGAAGACAGUAACCUUUUGUUGCGUUUUGGCUGUUGGUCGACACGGGUUCCCGAGUGCAAACUUUUGAAAACAGCACCGUCUCUGUAGUCGAGUAACCUGGCAGUAUGCAGGUCCUCUGAAAAGGGAAAGUUUUCAUACAAAGCACAUCUAGGUUCGGGGUCAAAAGCCAUGUGCGAGUUUAGGCGGACAACAACAACAAUGGCAGACUCCAGAGAUCUCUUUUAACAAGGCUUCUCCAGCAAAGUUUAUAUUUAGUGCACCUUCACUUUGAUCAGCGGAGACUUGCUUACAAAUAGUGAACCCACCUCUACGUCGGCCAAGGGAAGCCAAACGGGUGAUUAGCCAUCAGCCAUUUUUGUAUGUUUACACCUCACGGCUGUGUAGAAGGGAGAGUAUGAGUGCAUGCCGAGUUGUUUUAUUACAAAGUCACACCACCAACUACUGGCUUAGCAUGUAUAAUACAGUGUUUUUAGUCGUUUCUGUAGAUCUGUGGGCAUGGCCGUUGAUAUGAAAAUGUUGUACUUACUGCGCAAAGUUGGAACUUUUUGAGAACACAAAAAGAAAAACGAUUCCGCUUUCAGUGGAUCUGUAUCAUGUAAACGUGGAGUUAGAGCGGAUAUUUUGCCUGUGGAAUUAUCUUGGAGGUUACACAGUAGUGUGGGGCUUUCCAAACCCUUUCUUAAUCCCUGAUGUAUUGCAGAGUCAUCCUGCAAAAGUCUUAAGGCGUGUUCGGAUUAAAACAAAAGCUGCAUUCAGUUAAAGUUUAUGUAAAUGAGCGAUUGCAGAUCAAAUGUAGGGUGUAAAAACUGGGGUUAAAAAUGCCCUCAAUCAAACAAACAAAAAAUGGAUCCUGCAGCUGUAUGACACCACUACAUGGAGAAGAAGAAAACAAAACAAACUGAAAAAAAUGAGCAUACAGCUAGCGUUGCUCUUGACCUGCAAAGACAGGUGAACUUCUUGCACAUGCAUCAUUAGUAGCAGUAAUGUUGCUACAAGCUAACAGCAAAAGCUAGCCCCUGGUGAGUUUGUAAUUAGCAGUUUGUUUCCACCGACUGCACAACAAAGUGCUCGCUCUGAUUGCACCUUUAAAGCCUGUGGUGUGAAUCUGAGGUGGAGCCGGUCUGUUCCGAUCUCAGCUAGCUGUUAGCAGUUAGUGUAAUGAAGCACUUAAACCACAGGCUCUGGUUUUAAUUGUGCGGCCAUUUCACCUGAGCUUUGAUGGUUAAUACGUCUGAGUGGAUGCAUUCUGUGGGCCUGCAGGGUUUAGGGCAGCACGCCUGGAAAAAAAAAAGUGUGAACAGUCCUUUAAUGAGAUCUGACAUCCAUGAGCGGUAGAAUCCUGCAGACCGUGUGUGGUAGUCGUUGACCUGAAAUUGGUUUUUACUUUGAGUUUCAACUUUUUACUUUAACGAUGAAAUAUCUUUAAGAAUGAAUUUUAUUCCAGAGAGGAGAUGCAGCAGUAAGUUGCAUGAAGAACUUAAAACUUCAGAUGUCAGCUAUGAAAGGAGAAGAAUUAGACCAUUAUUUACGAGAAAACUUUUGUCAUAAUGUGACUCAUAAGAAAUUGGAGACUGGGUUUGCUCUCGAUAAAAACUGUGUUUGGAUUGUUCUACAUAAGCAGAAAAGUUUGUCAGAUACUUUAUGAGCGAGCAACUUUUUCCCUGCAUGUUGUCACCAAACUGGCAGUUUUUAAAGGGUACGGUGUGUUCACUAGAAGAUAAAAAAAGUAUGACUUUGUUUCACUUUCUGAAUGCAGCAUUUGUUGAUUCCCUGCAGAAACAUUCUGAUCCUGCAGGUUUUUCCAUAUUUAUAAUUCAGCGACUUUGGUGACAUUUUCAUGCGUUUUAUUCACAAAUAUAAAAAGUUGAAUGUUAAAAAGUCUAAAUUAUGACGGUUCUUUUAUCUUAUCAGUUAACAUUAAAGUUUUGAUGAUGAUUUUUGACCACUUGUGGCGCUGUAGAGCAACCCAAGAAGGACUCACAACACAAACAGUUCUUAAAACUUUUGCUAGAUCUGAAACCGAAGUAUCAGAGGUGAUAAUUGCGCGCCUGCCUAUAAAUGUUUGGUUACUAAAGUAACUUUGGUUCUCUGAGAGCUGUGCGAGAUUUUGUAAGCAAGCUCUUCAGAAUGGGGCCGUUUGCCUGGCACGAUGUUUGGGUCGUUCUUUGCUAAUUAAAGUAUCUUAAAAGACUUGUGAUGCUUUUAAAGGCCAGAUGUGAGAAACUAUUUUUUUUGUUGUUGCAAAAUUGCAAUCGUUUUUUGCAGACAAGUGGAUCAAAUGUAGGAAUGCAGAAAUAAAAGUGAAGAGAACUGAAAGCUAAAUGAACAAUGACGUUUUUAAGUCCUCCAUGUUGAAAUAGUACAUGAAGUUUCCCUUUAACACACAAACAAACAUUUUGCCAGUUAGCUUCAAACACGACUGUAUUUGCUGUAUUUUUGAGCAUGAGAUGUUUAAGUUAGAGUUACCAGAUUUAAGUCAAGUGUUAACCUGGAGAGAACUGUGGAAGCUGCAGAGUAAAUGUUGAAAAACUUGAGAGAACUUUGACUUUCAGAGGUUUUAACUGAAGCUCAUGAAAACUCUUCUGCUCUCUUUAUAUUUGUGAAGUUUCUUCACCAAACAGUGCCAGUUAUCCUUGGCUUGUUUUUCUUUUUUUUUGUCUUUUUGUAGAAAUCAGAAUAAGCCUGAAAAUGUUUCACGGUUUAAAUGUAGUGGGGAUUUAGAUGAUAGUGUUGAGAUUUCAGCCCCGCCAACCAAUUCUUUCAUCUUUCAUCAGGGUCAUCAAGAAACACAUUGCAACCAUCCUUUAAAUAGGGUAGGCACGAAAUUGAAAGAAA